rnacentral:rRNA from 1 species
CGUCAGCUCGUGUCGUGAGAUGUUGGGUUAAGUCCCGCAACGAGCGCAACCCUUAUUCUUAUUUGCCAGCGGGUAAUGCCGGGAACUAUAGGAAAACUGCCGGUGCUAAGCCGGAGGAAGGUGGGGAUGAGGUCAAGUCAUCAUGGCCCAAUGAGUUGGGCUACACGCGUGCUACAAUGGUACCUACAGAGUGAUGC